rnacentral:tRNA from 1 species
AAAUUCGUAGUUUAGCAGAAGAAUGUUUUAUUUACAAUAAAAAGGGGUAAGAA